GACAUGCAAGUCGAACGGGAGAAUUGUUUGCUUGCUAAUAAUUCUCUAGUGACGCACGGGUGAGUAACACGUGAGUAACCUGCCUCUUAGUGGGGGAUAGCCCUGGGAAACCGGGAUUAAUACCGCAUACGAUUGAAAGAUCAAAGCAGCAAUGCGCUAGGAGAUGGGCUCGCGGCCUAUUAGUUAGUUGGUGAGGUAACGGCUCACCAAGGCGAUGACGGGUAGCCGGUCUGAGAGGAUGUCCGGCCACACUGGAACUGAGACACGGUCCAGACACCUACGGGUGGCAGCAGUCGAGAAUCAUUCACAAUGGGGGCAACCCUGAUGGUGCGACGCCGCGUGGGGGAAUGAAGGUCUUCGGAUUGUAAACCCCUGUCAUGUGGGAGCAGAUUAAAAAGAUAGUACCACAAGAGGAAGAGACGGCUAACUCUGUGCCAGCAGCCGCGGUAAUACAGAGGUCUCAUGCGUUGUUCGGAAUCACUGGGCGUAAAGCGUGCGUAGGCUGUUUCGUAAGUCGUGUGUGAAAGGCAGGGGCUCAACCCCUGGAUUGCACAUGAUACUGCGAGACUAGAGUAAUGGAGGGGGAACCGGAAUUCUCGGUGUAGCAGUGAAAUGCGUAGAUAUCGAGAGGAACACUCGUGGCGAAGGCGGGUUCCUGGACAUUAACUGACGCUGAGGCACGAAGGCCAGGGGAGCGAAAGGGAUUAGAUACCCCUGUAGUCCUGGCAGUAAACGGUGCACGCUUGGUGUGCGGGGAAUCGACCCCCUGCGUGCCGGAGCUAACGCGUUAAGCGUGCCGCCUGGGGAGUACGGUCGCAAGAUUAAAACUCAAAGAAAUUGACGGGGACCCGCACAAGCGGUGGAGUAUGUGGCUUAAUUCGAUGCAACGCGAAGAACCUUACCUGGGCUUGACAUGUAAUGAACAACAUGUGAAAGCAUGCGACUCUUCGGAGGCGUUACACAGGUGCUGCAUGGCCGUCGUCAGCUCGUGUCGUGAGAUGUUUGGUUAAGUCCAGCAACGAGCGCAACCCCUGUUGCCAGUUACCAGCACGUCAAGGUGGGGACUCUGGCGAGACUGCCCAGAUCAACUGGGAGGAAGGUGGGGACGACGUCAGGUCAGUAUGGCCCUUAUGCCCAGGGCUGCACACGUACUACAAUGCCCAGUACAGAGGGGGCCGAAGCCGCGAGGCGGAGGAAAUCCUGAAAACUGGGCCCAGUUCGGACUGUAGGCUGCAACCCGCCUACACGAAGCCGGAAUCGCUAGUAAUGGCGCAUCAGCUACGGCGCCGUGAAUACGUUCCCGGGUCUUGUACACACCGCCCGUCACAUCAUGGAAGCCGGUCGCACCCGAAGUAUCUGAAGCCAACCGCAAAGAGGCAGGGUCCUAAGGUGAGACUGGUAACUGGGAC
rnacentral:rRNA from 1 species